CUUGGUCUAUUGCUAACUAAUCUGAUGGAUGGUUUUGCUAACUAACCCUAAAUCUAAGCUAUUAAUUACAUAGUAUGCUACUAACUAAACUAAGAUCAUAAAUUAGGGCAGACUAACAAAAGGAAUGUUAGCUAGGAGUCUCCCGCUCAAAUACCAAGAAAGUUGACGGCUACGCGGACCAAUUCCUUGGAACCUUUGCCGGGACCGAAAACUCCUGAUGCUUCGCCUGGAAUUCUCCUAGCAAACCCUCUCUAUUUCAUCUAACAUAAACUAUUGUAACAAACAUUAAUUCUAAACUAACCUAUGGCUAUCAAUCCUAAUCUAUAGAUUCUUGACUGAGUCCCAGAUUAGUCCCGAAUCUGUUUGCCUUCUCGGGGCACAAUCCAGAUCUUUGGCAAACGUAGAGGACUCUUAAACGUAACCCUACGUGACCUAAAACUAAAUCGUACUGCUAAAGUAAAUGCUAUGUUUCUUUUUCGGGCCCCACGUUGGGCGCCAUUUUGUCCUGUCCUGGUCCAAUAAAUGCAAGAAUUUCCUGACCGCUUGUCGCUGUGCUGGCAUGGUGGCGUAUGCGCGGCUAGUGCCCGCCGGAUGGGGUGGUUCUUUGCGCAAGCGUGUCACAUGAGCAGGAACAAAAAGUUUUACAUGCCAGGCUUACUAUGUAAAAGAAAAGGGAUGUUUGGCCCGAAAAAGAAACUACUAACCUAAGAUGUCUAAAUAAAAAUGAGGAAGCACCACACCUACCUUUUGGAAGCCUUCUCGCCUGGUGUUCUGGCGAGGAUAAUGCCCUCCCUCUGGAGUCGGAGCUCCACCAUAGCAACUUUCAAGUCAGUUGCCCCGUACCUACCUCUUCACCUUAUCACCCCCUUCCCAUCUCCCUCUUCUCAAGAUCUACAUGAUUUCAAUAAAAUUCAUCGUCUUUUCGUAAACGUUACAAACAUUUCAGGUAGUUCCUUUAUUUAUAAAAGAUGGUUAAUUUAUGAUGACCACAUGAAAAAUUCAGAAAAACAAGAGGCAUCAUCCAAAAAUCAUAAUAAAAAAGGAAACUCGAAACAUUAGGUGGGUAUGGCUAGCUUCAAACAGAUCUAAUGGCAUCCCAUCUCUUCUUUCGGGGCUCCUGCCGCUGAGUAAGUUAGGCUGUGCCCACAAUGGCAGCUUACUCCGUCUGUCCGUCUAUGUCCGUCCGAAUAUUGUAAAGUUCAAGGUAAGUAAAAGGGGUAUUAUAAAAAAAUAAAAGGGGUAUUUGGAAUUAGUUUUCUUAUUUCAUAUCUGAUUUUUUUUUCUUUUCUUCUUUUAGGCCUUUACCACGCCCGAAAGGACGGCAUCUUCAAAGUACUAGCUUGGAACAAAGAUCCCUAUGGAGACUUCCUACCUGCCUAGAGAGAGCUCUAUCUAUUGGGGAAGGGUAAAUACCGUAUAAUACUGUGGAUGAUAAUCUGUACGUCCGUCCGUCCGAAUGUUUAGUGUUAAGUAUAACGAGUUAAGGGUCUAUGUAAGCCGUCACCUGGAGCACUGCGGUCUGCGAGCGCUUUUGAAGGAGGUCCCACGCUGGUGCAGAGGAGAUGAGCCGUUGGCGAGCAGCGUUUUUUUUUUAUUUACUUUUAAUUCAAAAUUUUAGUUUAAUCUUUAGUUAUUUAUUCAGUCUUUUUUUUCCUUUUUUUGUUAAGUUUAUAAUUAAGUUUCUUUCUUUAGUUUGAAAUUUAUUUUCCAAUAAGUGUUUUUAAUUCAGUUCCUUUUUUUUCACUCUUUAGAGUUAGGUAUUAAUGUAGUUUUAAGAAUAGUUUUUAUGGUAAUUUUAAGGUUAUUUGGUAAUUCAGUUUGUAAGAUGCUUUUUUUUUGUUUAGCUGUUGCAAUUUCUUUUUUCUUCAGUAAUAAAGGAUUCGAAAUUUUCUAAAUUGGUUUUCCUCUUUGUUUUUUUUUUUAAUAUUUUUUUUGUUUCUCCUUUUUUUUUGGAAUUCAGUUAAUUUUUCAUGUUUGUAAUUUAAAAUAAAAGUGCCCUUUUCAAUCUUGGGCUUCUAGAGGUUUUAUCCCA